GAAAAUGGACUCUCAAUUGAGGACUUGCCCUCAUUAGGUUUACCUGUGGCCAUGCCUGUGUGGAAUUUUCUUUAAUGCUGAUUAGAGGGAGGGGAGAAUUUAUGCAGUGUCAUGGGCCUGGCAGUAUAAGAAGAGUAGCUGAGCAAGUUAGAGGAAGUGAGUCAGUGAUUAGCACUCUUCCAAGGUCUAUGUUUUAGUUCCUGACUCCAUGUUCCUGCCUUGGCAUCCCUCCAUGAUGGAAUAUCACUUGGAAGUGUGGAAUGAAACAAAACCUUUCCCCCUCAAACUUGGUUUUGUGAUAUUCUGCUAUACUCAUCGAUCGGUGUGCAGCCCAAUUGUCAUCAGUAGCAUCAUCCAGCAACUGAUGGGAUCAGAUAAGGAGGCCCCAAGCCAAACACUAGGUGGAGUUCUGCGCACCUCACAGAAGAGGGGGAAGAAGGACGGUAGAAGCCAGAAGAGUCAAGGACACCAUGAGAACACGGCUCACAGAAUCAAUUAAGCAGGCUCCCAGAGACUGAAGUGACAAUCAUGGACCCAGAAUGGGUCUGAGCAAGAAUUCGAUCCCCAACUUCUUGUUAUAUCUGCCUCCUGUGUGGUGCUGAAAUGUUGUCAUCCAGUAUCCUGUUCCAGCUGUCAUGCCUUUUCCCUCACAAUUGACUCCAUUCUUCUGGAAGUGUAAGCUAUUAAAAUAAGUCCUUCUCCCCUAAACAAAAAAUAAACUAAUAUACUGCUAUUGUUAUUUUGCUAAA